AUUGAACGCUGGCGGCAGGCCUAACACAUGCAAGUCGAGCGGUAGAGAGGUGCUUGCACCUCUUGAGAGCGGCGGACGGGUGAGUAAUGCCUAGGAAUCUGCCUGGUAGUGGGGGAUAACGUCCGGAAACGGACGCUAAUACCGCAUACGUCCUACGGGAGAAAGCAGGGGACCUUCGGGCCUUGCGCUAUCAGAUGAGCCUAGGUCGGAUUAGCUAGUUGGUGAGGUAAUGGCUCACCAAGGCGACGAUCCGUAACUGGUCUGAGAGGAUGAUCAGUCACACUGGAACUGAGACACGGUCCAGACUCCUACGGGAGGCAGCAGUGGGGAAUAUUGGACAAUGGGCGAAAGCCUGAUCCAGCCAUGCCGCGUGUGUGAAGAAGGUCUUCGGAUUGUAAAGCACUUUAAGUUGGGAGGAAGGGUUGUAGAUUAAUACUCUGCAAUUUUGACGUUACCGACAGAAUAAGCACCGGCUAACUCUGUGCCAGCCGCCGCAGUAACAC
rnacentral:rRNA from 1 species